rnacentral:rRNA from 1 species
GAUGAACGCUGGCGGCGUGCUUAACACAUGCAAGUCGAACGGUGAAGCAGGAGCUUGCUCCUGUGGCUCAUUGGCGAACGGGUGAGUAACACGCGAGCAAUCUGCCAUGGACUCUGGGAUAAGCGGUGGAAACGACGUCUAAUAGUGGUUACGAGGCGUGGGGGCAUACGCAAGGACUGGAAAGUACUUCGGUCCAGGAUGAGCUCGCGGCCUAUCAGGUAGUUGGUGAGGUAACGGCUCACCAAGCCUACGACGGGUAGCCGGCCUGGGAGGGUGACCGGCCACACUGGGACUGAGACACGGCCCAGAAUCCUACGGGAGGCAGCAGUGGGGAAUAUUGCACAAUGGGCGCAAGCCUGAUGCAGCAACGCCGCGUGAGGGACGACGGCCUUCGGGUUGUAAACCUCUUUUAGCAGGGAAGAAGCGAAAGUGACGGUACCUGCAGAAAAAGCACCGGCUAACUACGUGCCAGCAGCCGCAGUAACAC